rnacentral:rRNA from 1 species
CAGCCGCCGCGGUAAUACCGGCGGCCCGAGUGGCGGUCACUAUUAUUGGGCUUAAAGCGUCCGUAGCCGGGUUGGGAAGGCCUCCGGGAAAUCUGGCCGCUUAACGGUCAGAAUGCCGGAGGAUACUCCCAGCCUAGGGAGCGGGAGAGGCCGAGGGGAUUCCCGGAGUAGGGGGGAAAUCCUAUAAUCCCGGGAGGACCACCUGUGGCGCAGGCGCUCGGCUGGAACGCGUCCGACGGUGAGGGACGAAGGCCAGGGGAGCAAACCGGAUUAGAUACCCGGGUAGUCCUGGCUGUAAACGAUGCGGACUUUGUGUCGGACAAGCUAUGAGCUUGUCCGGUGCCGGAGGGAAACCGUUAAGUCCGCCGCCUGGGGAGUACGGCCGCAAGGCUGAAACUUAAAGGAAUUGGCGGG